rnacentral:lncRNA from 1 species
GCACAUUUCUCUCCUCCCCGGCCCACACGCACCUUUCCCGCCGCCGCCAAGGAAGGUGCACAUGGGGCGAGUAAAAGGCCAGCGUCUUUCCUCCCUCGCCCCGUGGGCAGCUUUCCUGCCGCUGCUGCCGAGGAAGACAGCGGGAAAGGUGUGUGCUGGUCAAGAGAGAGAAAGGCACACGCCUUUUCCUAGCCCCGUGGGCAGCUUGCUGCUGCCAAGGAAGAUGCACACAGGGCAAGAAAAAGGCCUGCGCCUUUCCUCCCUCGCCCCAUGGGCAGUUUUCCCGCUGCCGCUGCCGAGGAAGACGCACAUAGGGUGAGGAAAAGGCCUGCACCUUUCCUCCCUCGCCCCACGGGCAGCUUUCCCGCCGCCGCCAAGGAAGAUGCACAGGGGUGAGUAAAAGGCUUGGACCUUUCCUCCCUCGCCCCGUGGGCAGCUUUCCCACCGCUGCCACUAAGGAAGGCAGCGGGAAAGGUGCAUGCUGGGAGAGAGAGGAGAGAAAGGUGCAAGCCUUUUCCUCGCCCCGCGGGCAGCUUUCCCGCUGCUGCCGCCGAGGAAGAUACACACAGGGAGAAGCCUAAGGAAGGAAGAGAAAAGAAGGCUGAAGCAGCUUUGUUUUCGCCUCAUAAGGCAGCAGCAGCACUGGGAGCACGUAUGCACGUGCUUUAGAGGUGAGGAGGUGACAGAGACUCUACUUGCAAACAACACAAAUAUAGCACCUCUACUUCAUGGAUUUUCACUUUUCACAGGUGGUCCUGGAACAUAACCCCCGAGAUAAGUGAGGGAACACUGUACGCUGCUUUGAAUCUCACCCACAGGAGAUAAGUG